rnacentral:rRNA from 1 species
AUUGAACGCUGGCGGCAGGACUAACACAUGCAAGUCGAGCGAGCGGCGGACGGGUGAGUAAUGUAUGGGGACUGCCCGAUAGAGGGGAAUAACUACUGGAAAAGGUGGCUAAUACCGCAUACUAUCGGAUAACCAAUAUGGGAUUAGCUAGUAGGUGGGGUGAAGGCUGACCUAGGCGACGAUCUCUAGCUGGUCUGAGAGGCGGAGCAGCCAGACGGGGACUUGGACACGGCCCAGACUCCCAGGUAGGCAGCAGUGGGGAAUAUUGCAAAAUGUGCGCAAGCCUGAUGCAGCCAUGCCGCGUGUAUGAAGAAGGGCUUAGGGUUGUAAAGUACUUUCAGCGGGGAGGCGUUACCCGCAGAAGAAGCACCGGCUAACUCCGUGCCAGCAGCCGCGGUAAUUC